rnacentral:rRNA from 1 species
UACGGGGGGGGCAAGCGUUGUUCGGAAUUACUGUGCGUAAAGGGCUCGUAGGCGGCCAACUAAGUCAGACGUGAAAUCCCCCGGCUUAACCAGGGAACUGCGUCUGAUACUGGAUGGCUUGAGAUUGGGAGAGGGAUGCGGAAUUCCAGGUGUAGCGGUGAAAUGCGUAGAUAUCUGGAGGAACACCGGUGGCGAAGGCGGCAUCCUGGACCAUUACUGACACUGAAAAGCGAAAGCCAGGGGAGCAAACGGG